rnacentral:rRNA from 1 species
UACGUAGGUGGCAAGCGUUGUCCGGAAUUACUGGGCGUAAAGCGAACGCAGGCGGAUGGUUAAGUAAGAAGUGAAAGGUCGGAGCUCAACUCCAACACUGCUUCUUAUACUGGCCGUCUUGAGUCCCGGAGAGGAAAGCGGAACUGCACGUGUAGCGGUGAAAUGCGUUGAUAUGUGCAGGAACACCAAUGGCGAAGGCAGCUUUCUGGACGAGGACUGACGCUCAUGUUCGAAAGCCAAGGUAGCGAACAGG